rnacentral:lncRNA from 1 species
CUGGCUUGUCUUUAAAUACAUUUAAAACUUAACGUUUGUUUUAGUCCCUGCCUGAUGCUGUAGACCCUCCAGUUGCAAUGGAGAUAAGGCCUCUGUCAGCUGAUGUGGCGUCUCUCUAUACUCAAGCAGUGCGAGCAGCUCAACAUCCCCACGAGCUACAGGAAAAGAGAGAAGAGAAAGUUACCAAGUGUGUCAAUAAAAAGAAGCAAAAGUCACUGUGGGAAAACAGGAUUAACCAGCACAGGCAAGAACUCCAGGAGCAGAGAAGACACAGAAACGCACUCAGACACCAUAUCGUUACUCCAUACUUUCACCCUGAGCUGAAGGAAAUGUCACUCUUUACAGAUGAGGAUCUAGACUUGAGCUCACUCUCCCUGGAUCUUCCACCCUUCCCCAGAGCGCAGCGCUUCUCCACGGACUCUUCAUCAGGCAGAAGUAGUUCCUGUGAGGUUUAAAGAAUAACAAUAAUAUUUAAGUAUUAUUUUUAAUGGAAAGUCUUCAGAAAUAAACUUUGAGUACUUUAUCUGAUUCUACAAAUACAGAUGCAUUAAAAAACUUGUGAAAGCUUUGCCAAGGCAUCUGUUAUUCAGCAUUUUCUGGAAAUGUCUCGCUCCAAAAAUAGUGCAAAAAUUGUGUAA